rnacentral:rRNA from 3 species
UGGGGAAUAUUGCACAAUGGAGGGAACUCUGAUGCAGCGACGCCGCGUGAACGAAGAAGGCUUUCGAGUCGUAAAGUUCUUUUAUAUGGGAAGAUAAUGACGGUACCAUAAGAAAAAGCCCCGGCUAACUACGUGCCAGCAGCCGCGGUAAUACGUAGGGGGCUAGCGUUGUCCGGAAUCACUGGGCGUAAAGGGUUCGCAGGCGGAAAUGCAAGUCAGGUGUAAAAGGCAGUAGCUUAACUACUGUAAGCAUUUGAAACUGCAUAUCUUGAGAAGAGUAGAGGUAAGUGGAAUUUUUAGUGUAGCGGUGAAAUGCGUAGAUAUUAAAAAGAAUACCGGUGGCGAAGGCGACUUACUGGGCUCAUUCUGACGCUGAGGAACGAAAGCGUGGGGAGCAAACAGG